GACGUCGAAUAUCGACGUCAUAAACACCAAAGUUGUUCGUUUUUAUGACGUCGAAUAUCGACGUCAUAAACACCAAAGUUGAUCGUGUUUAUGACGUCGAAUAUCGACGUCAUAAACACCAAAGUUGUUCGUGUUUAUGACGUCGAAUAUCGAAGUC